GAUGAACGCUGGCGGCGUGCCUAACACAUGCAAGUCGAACGGAAAGGUCACAACUUGCUGUGGUACUCGAGUGGCGAACGGGUGAGUAAAACGUGGGGAAACCGUCCCUUACUUCGGGAUAAACUUGGGAAACUGGGUCUAAUACCGGAUAGGAAUUACAUGUGGGUGUGUGGCAGGAAUGCUAUUGCGGUAUGAGAUGAGCUCUCGGCCUAUCAGCUUGUUGGUGGGGUAAUGGCCUACCAAGGCGUCGACGGGUCGCCGACCUGGGAGCGUCCACGGCCACAUUGGGACUGCGAUACGCCGCAGACGCCAACGGGAGGCAACAGUAGAGAGUAUUGCACAGUGGGCGCGAGCCUGAUACGACGACGCCGCGUGGGGAAUGCCGGCCUUCGAGUUAUGAACUACUUUCUUCGGAGACGUGGCGAAAGUGACGGUACCUGGAUAGGAAGCCCCGGCUAACUACGUG
rnacentral:rRNA from 1 species